rnacentral:rRNA from 1 species
GUCUACGGCCAUGCCACCCUGAACAAGCUCGAUCCCAUCUGAUCUCGGAAGCUAAGCAGGGUCGGGCCUAGUUAGUAUUUGGAUGGGAGACCACCUAG